rnacentral:rRNA from 1 species
AAAGAUCGAAUGGGGAGAUUCAUCGUCAGCCGCUUUGGCUUCCGUGUGAACGCGAUGAUCGGGGCUUCGGCUCUGCGUCACGCGUUUGCUGCGGCAUGUCUGGAGUGGUCGGCGUGCACUUCUCCCCUAGUAGGACGUCGCGAUUCGUUGGGUGUCGGUUUACGGACCGGUAGGUCGCCUGGCGUAUCUCGUUCACGCGAGUUUGUGUCAGACCUCUGGAUUCCCAACCGGCUGCCCGGCGGUAUAAAACGAUAAUUAAACGGUAUUGGGCCGCAUUGAAUGCGUUCAGGCUCGUAGGCAGGCUUGUCUCGCUCGGAUUUACGGACCUAGUGCCGUUGCCGGGUGCUUGGCGAACUGUGGCUUGCGAUGUCCUCGGACUGGCUCUUGAAUAUUCUUACGAAUAUACCGAUCGGCGACGCUACUGCUUUGGGUACUUUCAGGACCCGUCUUGAAACA